ACAGAGGUGGCGAGCGUUGUUCGGAUUUACUGGGCGUAAAGGGCGCGUAGGCGGCCGCGUGUGUCGGGUGUGAAAUCCCAGGGCUCAACCCUGGAAGUGCGCCCGAAACUGCACGGCUCGAGCGCGGGAGGGGAGAUCGGAAUGCAGGGUGUAGCGGUGAAAUGCGUUGAUAUCCUGCAGAACACCGGUGGCGAAGGCGGGUCCCUGGAACGCAACUGACGCUGAGGCGCGAAAGUCGGGGGAGCAAACAG
rnacentral:rRNA from 1 species